rnacentral:rRNA from 1 species
ACACUCCUGCGGGAGGCAGCAGUGGGGAAUAUUGGACAAUGGGCGCAAGCCUGAUCCAGCCAUGCCGCGUGAGUGAUGAAGGCCCUAGGGUUGUAAAGCUCUUUCACCGGUGAAGAUAAUGACGGUAACCGGAGAAGAAGCCCCGGCUAACUUCGUGCCAGCAGCCGCGGUAAUACGAAGGGGGCUAGCGUUGUUCGGAUUUACUGGGCGUAAAGCGCACGUAGGCGGACUAUUAAGUCAGGGGUGAAAUCCCGGGGCUCAACCCCGGAACUGCCUUUGAUACUGGUAGUCUUGAGUUCGAGAGAGGUGAGUGGAAUUCCGAGUGUAGAGGUGAAAUUCGUAGAUAUUCGGAGGAACACCAGUGGUGAAGGCGGCUCACUGGCUCGAUACUGACGCUGAGGUGCGAAAGCGUGGGGAGCAAACAGGAUUAGAAACCCGGGUAGUCC